CUUGGUUUCCUGGAACGGUCCCUGACCUCGAAGGUUGGGUCUGAAAACUGGCUUCCACUUCCUCGUACGCGAAGCGUUGCUUCCGAGAUUUGGCCAAGGGCCGAUGGGAGGCUAAAAAUCAUGGUCUCGGAGACACAGUUGCUAUGCAGCCGACCUCGGCUGGUGAAGAAGAAAUCUCGAAGCCUUCUAAAGAAAAGAAAACAAAAAGAGGGUCACCUGCAAAUCGCUUGAAGCCCAAGAAAAGUGCGGCUCGAAAGUCCAAGGUUGAUACGAUGGUCUUAUCUCCGGAAAGGCCCAACGCCUUCGAGAUCAGGAGGAAGAAGAGGAUGAAGACUGCCUAUUGGUAGCUCGUAAAAGAGGAAACACUGGUGCUUCGAAGUUUAUCGAACCGGUGGUGGUUGAUGCGGUUCAUUCUAGAGCCGAAGAGAUUUCUGAGAGGAGUUCGAGCUAAGUCCCCGAGCCAUCGGGCAGCAAGAGUGCACCUCGUCUUUGAGGUCAUUUGGAGGGUGAGACAGAGGGGCCUGGUCCCAAUCCCCUUCAAAUAGAAGAGAAUUCCCGGAGUGGAUCACUUGGGGUAAUUAAUAUGGAUGACUCACCACCUGGUACCGAGUUCUCUGAGGGGCAAAUCCGAGAUGCUCAAAACAUGAGAUCUUCUGAAGUGGGGGCGAGCCACGAAGGGCAUGACAUCUUUCAAGAAUGCCUCACAUGCAUUAAAGAUGGACCCAACCCAGAUGCUUCUUUCAUCUUCGAUGAGGCUUGUCGGCUCUUCAAACAAGAUGUGGUUCUCCAUAAAAGGGCAUUUCCAAGUCUCGAGCUGAUCUUGCUCGAUGUGAAGUCAAGCUUAAGAAGGUCUCAGAAGAGAUAGACAGUCUUAAAACCCUCGAAAUGGGCGAGCUGGUGGAGUAGCUUUGAGAGGAGCUCAAGCUGAAGGAGGCCGAGACCCUAGGGUAGAGGCGAGGAAUGGACAGUCAUGCCUCCAAGAAAGAAACUCUUCAGGAGUAGCUGGCUUGACUCGAAUGUCAGCUUAAAAAUGUAAAGGAUGAGAGUCUGGAUCGAGGCCGCGGACUUGAGGAGCUUAAGUCUAAGUCUGGUGCUGAGCUGGACAAGGCCAAAUCUGACGCUGAGGCAAUUAUAUCUUCGUAUAGAGCCGACAUUGAAGUGGCUAAUGCCCGGGCAAAGGAGAUCUCUUCCGCAGCCAAAGUUAGGUUAUCAAGUACAUUUGGCCAUGCUAGACGACAGUCCCAGAGGGAAACAUUCAAGGAGGUACAUGCUCACGGCUUCAAUCUCUCACCCGAUAUUGAAAGGGCGAAGACUUUGGAAGAAGAGGUCGCCGCUUUGCUUUCUGAUGAGGAUGAUUCAGCCAGUGGCUCCGAGAUUGGAGGAGACGAAGAUGAAGUCCCUGAGGGUGAGGCUCUCGAAGAUGUGGCUCCUGAAGAUGCAGCUGCCGAAGAUGCGGCCUCGAAGUAGAUUUAGGUUUCCUUAUUUUGUUUUCGUGUUUU